CUGACGGGAAUCUGUCCUUCCAAUGAUAACCAAGUCAGAGCCACUCUCGUUCCUAGCAUCAACAGCUGCUUUUAUGUGCAUGAUGGCUUCCUCCCUUGGGUAUACUUUCCUUCCUUCAGUGUGUCCACAGGCUUUAGGCGACACCUUCAAAUUACUAUACAUGUCAACUUUCUUCCAGGAUAAAUAAAACACAAGUCCACUGCCUGCAGUUUUUCUUUCGGGCAGUGGCAGGGCUUAUUAUCUAAAGCUAACAGAAACAACAAUAGUACUCAUUAUUAGCCAAUAGUGGAAUAAAAAUCACACAGAAAAUUUGGUCAAAAUUUUUAUGUGGUAUUUGAAAAUUUUGAUAACUUAGCUAAGUGAUUUUUAACAAUUUUGUUGCUGCCCUAAAUUUUAUUUUGUGGAGCGUGUCGCGUUUAGCUAUUAUGUAUAAUAAUUGUGUGAACCGAUUCUCCCUCGACCAGGGGGUUGAAGCCGGAUAUUACUUCCAUUAUUAUCUAAAAAAACAGAGUUAAACCUGACAAGGACCGUAUUUGAUACUGUGUUAGCUAAUAAGGUGCCAAUGUAUGAAAGGAUUGAUUAGUAUUCCAAAGAGAGCACACCUGAUCUUCGAGCAUGAUCGCAGCGAAACCAGCAUUGAUAUACCCUUUGAUGGUUCUCUUGAUGUUCAUAGAGUUUCCGUAACCAUUGUCUCCAUCACCAAUCACAGGGAUCGACACAGCUUCGUUGAUGAGACGCCCUUGGUCUACCAUUUCCCCGUAGGAGAUGAGGCCAACGUCCGGCAGGCCAAGUCGCGCGGCAGAGACACAGAAACCUGGAAAAGACACGUACGUGAAAAGAAUCCAAUGCUUUGACACACCUGCUUGAACAUUUGCGCUGUAGCUGAAGAAAUGAUAUGCACCCUAGCUACAUUCCAAAGUUGUAAUAAAACCAUAGCAAUAGUAGCAUGGUACGUUAGUCAGAAAUAGCCACGGAGCACCAGCAGACAGGAUGGUACGUUAGUUGUCAAUGCCAUUUAUACUGCCCUUCAUCUUGAGGUUGGAUUAGCUAGCAUUACUCAGUUGUAAUGACGCAUGCGAUUUCGUCGUGACGAGGAGGAGGAUGUGUGUUGUCAUGAGUUUAUACCGCUCAUGAAGGCGAUGGGGAAGCCGGCCUGCUCGACGAGGCGCGCGGCGAGGGCGUCGAAGCAGCACGGCGCCUGGUGCGCGCCGGGCGAGGCGAGGAUGCGGCGGAGCGCCGCCGCCGGGGACUCCCCCUGGCGGAUGCCGCGGAAGGACUCCUCGGUGGCGAAGUAGGGGCUGCGCGCGGCCAUCCUGAGCUGGCGGCGCGGGAGACUGGAAAUUGGAUGGAGGAGAGGGGAGCU
rnacentral:lncRNA from 1 species